rnacentral:rRNA from 1 species
CAGUAGCCGCGGUAAUACGAAGGGGGCUAGCGUUGUUCGGAAUUACUGGGCGUAAAGCGCACGUAGGCGGAUAUUUAAGUCAGGGGUGAAAUCCCAGAGCUCAACUUUGGAACUGCCUUUGAUACUGGGUAUCUUGAGUAUGGAAGAGGUGAGUGGAAUUCCGAGUGUAGAGGUGAAAUUCGUAGAUAUUCGGAGGAACACCAGUGGCGAAGGCGGCUCACUGGUCCAUUACUGACGCUGAGGUGCGAAAGCGUGGGGAGCAAACAGGAUUAGAUACCCGAGUAGUCCCUGUCUCUUAUAC